UAUAGGCCUUCAUGCAAUCAAGUGGUGGGGCGAAACCCCCUGGAAUGUGGAAGACUAUGCUAGGCGUACUUUCAUCCAGGCAAAGCAUCAGCCACCCUGAAAAUUCUCGGGGAUACCAUCUUCUAUGGACAGGUAUGGGAGCACAACUUGCACGUGAUGUCCCCUUUUCAGCUAUAUGUUGGACGGUUCUUGAACCAACUAGAAGACACU